GGCCUCCCGGUGCUUACCACAGGCUGUGUUCUUACACUGACUAUAGGAAGAGUAGGCAAAGAAAACCUACCCCAUAGACACCUCAGUCCAGGCCCUGUGCCUGGUAUGUAUUGUGAAUGGGGUGAGAAAA
rnacentral:snoRNA from 1 species